rnacentral:rRNA from 1 species
AUUGAACGCUGGCGGCAUGCUUUACACAUGCAAGUCGAACGGUAACAGGCCUUCGGGUGCUGACGAGUGGCGAACGGGUGAGUAAUGCAUCGGAACGUGCCCAGAGGUGGGGGAUAACGCAGCGAAAGCUGUGCUAAUACCGCAUGUGAUCUGAGGAUGAAAGCGGGGGACCAGGCAGCAAUGUUUGGCCUCGCGCCUUUGGAGCGGCCGAUGUCAGAUUAGGUAGUUGGUGGGGUAAAGGCCUACCAAGCCGACGAUCUGUAGCUGGUCUGAGAGGACGACUAGCCACACUGGGACUGAGACACGGCCCAGACUCCUACGGGAGGCAGCAGUGGGGAAUUUUGGACAAUGGGCGCAAGCCUGAUCCAGCAAUGCCGCGUGCGGGAAGAAGGCCUUCGGGUUGUAAACCGCUUUUGUACGGAACGAAAAGGCUCUGGCUAAUACCUGGGGCUGAUGACGGUACCGUAAGAAUAAGCACCGGCUAACUACGUG